CUUAAAUCAUAAUUUAUACUGCCUGCUCAAUGAAAAAUUUUAAUAGCCGCGGUAGUGCUAAGGUAGCAUAAUAAUUAGCUUUUUAAUUGAAAGAUGGAAUGAAAGGUUUCACUAGAAAAAUAUAUUUAAUAUUAAAAAAUGAAAUUUUAUUUUUAAUGAAAAUAUUAAAAUAUUUUUAUUAGACAAAAAGACCCUAUGAAGCUAAAGGUGGUAAAUUAAAAAUAUAAAAGUUAUUAUUAUACCUAUUUUUUGGGGUAAAAUCUAAUAUCAAUAUUUUUAUUCAUUUCUAAAAAGAGCCUUUAGGAACUAUGAAAAAGCUCCUCUAGGGAUAACAGCAUAAUACUUACAAAAGUUCUUAUUAGAAUAAGUGUUUAUGACCUCGAUGUUGAAUUAAAUAUUAAUAUUUGUGAAGUAGCUAUUAUUAAUUAGUCUGUUCGACUAAAAAUUU
rnacentral:rRNA from 1 species